GAUUUCAAUUAAAAAAGUCAUCAAAUAUAACUCAUCAAGAUUAUAACUUUUAUUUUGGUUAUUUCUUCAUCCAAUAAAGUGGUAGCAACAUUGUUUAUAAAAUUCACAUAUGUCUCAUUUGAUUUAUAAACUAUAACACAAAUAUGUCAAUUUUAUGAACAAUAUUACUAACACUUUGUCGGAUGAAGAAAUGACCAAAAUAAAAGUUAUAGAUCUUGAUGAGUUAUACAUCUUUGUUGUUGAUGACCUUUUUAGUUGAAAUC
rnacentral:pre_miRNA from 1 species